AGCAGCCGCGGUAAUUCCAGCUCCAAUAGCGUAUAUUAAAGUUGUUGCAGUUAAAAAGCUCGUAGUUGAAUUUCGGGAUCAAUAUACCGGUCGUGCCUCAGGUAUGAGCUGGUCUUAUUGGUUUCUCCCUUCUGACGAACCAUGAUGUCAUUAAUUUGAUGUCGUGGAGAAUCAGGACUGUUACUUUGAAAAAUUAGAGUGUUUAAAGCAGGCUAACGCUUGAAUACAUUAGCAUGGAAUAAUGAAAUAGGACGUUCGAUCCUAUUUUGUUGGUUUCUAGGAUCGACGUAAUGAUUAAUAGGGAUAGUUGGGGGCAUUAGUAUUCAAUUGUCAGAGGUGAAAUUCUUGGAUUUAUUGAAGACUAACUACUGCGAAAGCAUUUGCCAAGGAUGUUUUCAUUAAUCAAGAACGAAAGUUAGGGGAUCGAAGACGAUCAGAU
rnacentral:rRNA from 1 species